UUCUAGACGAGAAAAAACGAAAGAGUGAAGUGGCGAGGAAGCGCAAAUCCACUGCACCACCAGAAGUUGAAGAACGUGAUCAGGUUUUUUCUGCUUCUGCUUGACACACAACGGCAGUAAAUAUGGUUGUGGAAGAAAAUGUGCAGCAGGCUGAAGCUCUGCC